rnacentral:rRNA from 1 species
UACGUAGGGGCCUAGCGUUGUCCGGAAUUAUUGGGCGUAAAGAGCUCGUAGGCGGUUCGGCAAGUCGGAUGUGAAAUCUCCACGCUCAACGUGGAGGCGCCACCUGAAACUGCCGUCGAGCUCGAGGUCCGGUAGGGGAGUGUGGAAUUCCCGGUGUAGCGGUGAAAUGCACAGAUAUCGGGAGGAACACCAGAGGCGAAGGCGGAUACCUGGACAAUUACUGACGCUCAGGCACGAAAGCGUGGGGAGCAAAAGGG